rnacentral:rRNA from 1 species
AUUGAACGCUGGCGGCAGGCCUAACACAUGCAAGUCGAACGGUAACAGGAAGAAGCUUGCUUCUUUGCUGACGAGUGGCGGACGGGUGAGUAAUGUCUGGGGAACUGCCUGAUGGAGGGGGAUAACUACUGGAAACGGUAGCUAAUACCGCAUAACGUCGCAAGACCAAAAAGGGGGACCUUCGGGCCUCUUGCCAUCGGAUGUGCCCAGAUGGGAUUAGCUAGUAGGUGGGGUAACGGCUCACCUAGGCGACGAUCCCUAGCUGGUCUGAGAGGAUGACCAGCCACACUGGAACUGAGACACGGUCCAGACUCCUACGGGAGGCAGCAGUGGGGAAUAUUGCACAAUGGGCGCAAGCCUGAUGCAGCCAUGCCGCGUGUAUGAAGAAGGCCUUCGGGUUGUAAAGUACUUUCAGCGGGGAGGAAGGGAGUAAAGUUAAUACCUUUGCUCAUUGACGUUACCCGCAGAAGAAGCACCGGCUAACUCCGUG